rnacentral:rRNA from 1 species
CCCUUAGAUGUUCUGGGCCGCACGCGCGCUACACUGAUUCAUGCAACAAGUUUUGUCCUUGGCUGAUAGGCCUGGGUAAUCUUUGAACGUGAAUCGUGAUGGGGAUAGAUGAUUGCAAUUAUUCAUCUUCAACGAGGAAUUCCUAGUAAACGCAAGUCAUCAGCUUGCAUUGAUUACGUCCCUGCCCUUUGUACACACCGCCCGUCGCACCUACCGAUUGAAUGGUCCGGUGAAAUCUUCGGAUCUGAGAGAUGUCUGAUUAAUUUCGGACGCCUUUUGGAAAAGGUGCUUAAACCUUACCAUUUAGAGGAAGGUGAAGUCGUAACA